AUAUACUGAUGAAUAAAACAUGCCAAGUAAUGGCGUCUAACAGGAUGGAUUCAGGACAGAUACUGUAAAGCAAAGAACCAGGAAUGGAUUUGUCUUCAACUCAGACUUCAGAUCUCUCUACUUCUUGUCAAUCUUCACAUUCUAUCGUGGCAGUCAUGGCAUCUUUCGCACUGAAAUAAGCAGUCAGGGCCCCUAAAUGGGCUGCCCAGGCUUGCCCUGACCCCUGAAGAUCAGGUGCUGAACUCACCUUUCAGAGGCUGGCAUCCCAGGGUAUGAAGCCAGCAAGCCAAACACACUCUUCAAGUUGGAACGAGGGAAGAGCCGUGGAUGGUAGAAGAUGAAGCCCACAGUCGGAUCUGUGUGGGUGAGCGGGGCAGAACCAGCCAGCUGGGCAGCUGAGAAAGGCAUAGUCGGGUCGGUCAGAGAAGCCUCCCCAACUAUGCGUGUCUGAGGAUGUGUAGACGGCUGCUCCUUGAAUGCUUCCCAUGAGAGAGCCUUCUCUUGGGAGGAGUCUAGGGGGGAAUACACCCCUUGGUAUUCUGAGAGCUGAUCCCACCAGAUCCCUGUUUAUUUUAG